rnacentral:misc_RNA from 1 species
GUGAAUCAUCGAAUCUUUGAACGCAAAUUGCACUCUCCUCGGAGAGUAUGCCUGUUUGAGGGUCAGCCUAUAAAAAAUCGACAUCGUUGCUGUUUCGCGGUGGCGUUCGUCGGAAAUUGGGUCAUCUUAAACCUUUUUGUUUUUAGGGAACUUAAAUUUUCCUUUGGUUCCAUGAAAGUUUUCUAGAUCUAUUUUUUUUCAAGUUUUAGGUAUCGCUUUUUUAUUGACC